rnacentral:rRNA from 1 species
CCUACGGGAGGCAGCAGUGAGGAAUAUUCGUCAAUGGACGCAAGUCUGAACCAGCCAUGCCGCGUGCAGGAAGACGGCCCUAUGAGUUGUAAACUGCUGUUGUACGAGGGUAAACGCAGAUACGCGUAUCUGUCUGAAAGUAUCGUACGAAUAAGGAUCGGCCAACUCCGUGCCAGCAGCCGCGGUAAUACGGAGGAUUCAAGCGUUAUCCGGAUUUAUUGGGUUUAAGGGGUGCGUAGGCGGUCGGAUAAGUUAGAGGUGAAAACCCGAGGCUCAACUUCGGUAUUGCCUCUGAUACUGUUCGGCUAGAGAGUAGUUGCGGUAGGCGGAAUGUAUGGUGUAGCGGAGAAAUGCUUAGAGAUCAUACAGAACACCGAUUGCGAAGGCAGCUUACCAAGCUACUUCUGACGUUGAGGCACGAAAGCGUGGGGAGCAAACGGGAUUAGAUACCCCAGUAGUC